GACGAACGCUGGCGGCGUGCCUAAUACAUGCAAGUCGAACGCUGAAGGAGGAGCUUGCUUCUCUGGAUGAGUUGCGAACGGGUGAGUAACGCGUAGGUAACCUGCCUGGUAGCGGGGGAUAACUAUUGGAAACGAUAGCUAAUACCGCAUAAGAUUGACUAUUGCAUGAUAGUCAGUUAAAAGGUGCAAUUGCAUCACUACCAGAUGGACCUGCGUUGUAUUAGCUAGUUGGUGGGGUAACGGCUCACCAAGGCGACGAUACAUAGCCGACCUGAGAGGGUGAUCGGCCACACUGGGACUGAGACACGGCCCAGACUCCUACGGGAGGCAGCAGUAGGGAAUCUUCGGCAAUGGACGGAAGUCUGACCGAGCAACGCCGCGUGAGUGAAGAAGGUUUUCGGAUCGUAAAGCUCUGUUGUAAGAGAAGAACGAGUGUGAGAGUGGAAAGUUCACACUGUGACGGUAUCUUACCAGAAAGGGACGGCUAACUACGUG
rnacentral:rRNA from 1 species